AUGAAUAUCUUGCGCAUGUGCUCGUCAUCUUCACCUCCACUGAUAGGUUUCGCAGUAGACACGUUGUGGUUCCGGACUAUGCACUGUUUUGAAAAUGAAUGAGUUGCACUAUUAUCCGCGUCCAUGUUGGUCGGUGAUGCAGCAAAGAAAUAAAAUCGGACAGCGUUUAAAUGACAGUAGCCGAGUUAAAGUCGUUCGAACGUCAAAAUAAAUUGUUAAGUCAUUAAAUGCAACCUUGCAAUAGUUUUUGAAC